rnacentral:rRNA from 1 species
UAGGGAAUCUUCCACAAUGGGCGCAAGCCUGAUGGAGCAACACCGCGUGAGUGAAGAAGGGUUUCGGCUCGUAAAGCUCUGUUGUUGGAGAAGAACGUGCGUGAGAGUAACUGUUCACGCAGUGACGGUAUCCAACCAGAAAGUCACGGCUAACUACGUGCCAGCAGCCGCGGUAAUACGUAGGUGGCAAGCGUUAUCCGGAUUUAUUGGGCGUAAAGCGAGCGCAGGCGGUUGCUUAGGUCUGAUGUGAAAGCCUUCGGCUUAACCGAAGAAGGGCAUCGGAAACCGGGCGACUUGAGUUCAGAAGAGGACAGUGGAACUCCAUGUGUAGCGGUGGAAUGCGUAGAUAUAUGGAAGAACACCAGUGGCGAAGGCGGCUGUCUGGUCUGCAACUGACGCUGAGGCUCGAAAGCAUGGGUAGCGAACA